rnacentral:rRNA from 1 species
UACGAAGGGGGCUAGCGUUGCUCGGAAUUACUGGGCGUAAAGGGCGCGUAGGCGGAUGUCUUAGUCAGAGGUGAAAGCCCAGGGCUCAACCUUGGAAUUGCCUUUGAUACUGGACAUCUUGAGUACGGGAGAGGUGAGUGGAACUCCGAGUGUAGAGGUGAAAUUCGUAGAUAUUCGGAAGAACACCUGUGGCGAAAGCGG